CCCGCCCAAAGAGCUAAUCUUAUAUUGCUGGCUUUUUGCCCUCUCUCUCUCUCUCUCUUCGAUUUGCCAUCCCCAAUCUUCUGUCGAACGAAUUGCAAAGAUCGAACGUGUGAACCAUAUUCGAAAAGUAAAUCAGCACAAAAACAUAGUGAAACUGGUAUCCUGUUAUGGGGACUGAAGAGCCAAAAAACCCAUUAAAAGGGAUGGACUGGAAAAGCAUUGGUGGUUCUGUGCAAAAUGAGCCCAGUGCAGGACCAGUUACAAAAAAGCAACUUCCAGGAAAGAUCGGGCAAAUUCCAGAUUAUUCUUCCCUUCCUCGAAAAUCAAUUCCGUCGGCCAAUGUUGUUUACGGGAAAUUAAUUGCUGCUGGAAUUGGAGCAGGGAUGCUGGCAGAAAUCUGUAUGAACAAGAAGAUCAGAGAUAAAUCACGGCUUUGGAGGUUAAAAGGCCAUUAUAUAUAUAUAUAUAUAUAUAUAUAUAUAUAUAUCUCGCACCACCUUUGUAUGAAAAGAGUUUAAAGAUAAGCCAUUCUCUCUCUUAAUUGUAUCUGCACACUUUGUGGUAUGGCUUAUGACUAAUAUUUCUUUGCCUCUAUUGCUAAGGAUUGUAGAUUCCAUUUGGGGGAGUGACAAAUAUCAAAACUGGGAUGCUACAUUUUGGUAUUCAUGUAUCAAACACUUGUUUAUGUCUCAAGCUUUUCUCAAUGUUUAGAUUUGAUUUGUUCUAUGUAAUAUAGAAAUCUCAGCCGACUUUGUUCGGCUUUUGCGCAUUGUAGAAAGGCAAUAGUCAGCUUGUCAAGUGUUGAUACAGUAGUUCUUAAACCACUUUGUCAGGCUUUUGUUGUAGUUCAUCAGUCAUGAAAUUAUUUACUUUGAAGUUCUUAGCGCUACAGAAAGGAAAUCUAACAAAUUGUUGCAUUGGAAUUAGAGUCAGAGAAAAUUUAGUUUUAGUUUGAA